CACGUAGGGCGCAAGCGUUGUCCGGAAUUAUUGGGCGUAAAGAGCUCGUAGGCGGUCUGUUGCGUCCGCUGUGAAAACUCGGGGCUUAACCCCGAGCCUGCAGUGGAUACGGGCAGACUAGAGGUAGGUAGGGGAGAAUGGAAUUCCCGGUGUAGCGGUGAAAUGCGCAGAUAUCGGGAGGAACACCGGUGGCGAAGGCGGUUCUCUGGGCCUUACCUGACGCUGAGGAGCGAAAGCGUGGGGAGCGAACAGGAUUGAGA
rnacentral:rRNA from 1 species